rnacentral:rRNA from 1 species
GACGAACGCUGGCGGCGUGCCUAAUACAUGCAAGUAGGACGCAGUUGCGAACGGGUGAGUAACGCGUAGGUAACUGCCUAUUAGAGGGGGAUAACUAUUGGAAACGAUAGCUAAUACCGCAUACUAGUAGAUGGACCUGCGUUGUAUUAGCUAGUAGAUAGGGUAAUGGCCUACCUAGGCGACGAUACAUAGCCGACCAUGGAGGGUGAUCGGCCGCACUGGGACUGAGACACGGACCAGACUCCUACGGGAGGCAGCAGUAGGGAAUCUUCGGAAAUGGGGGAAACCCUGAACGAGCACCGCCGCGUGAGUGAAGAAGGUUUUCGGAUCGUAAAGCUCUGUUGUUAAGGAAGCGGUACUUAACCAAAAAGGGACGGCUGACUACGUGCCAGCAGCCGCGGUAAUUC